UACAGAGGAUGCAAGCGUUAUCCGGAAUGAUUGGGCGUAAAGCGUCUGUAGGUGGCUUUUUAAGUCCGCCGUCAAAUCCCAGGGCUCAACUCUGGACAGGCGGUGGAAACUACCAAGCUGGAGUACGGUAGGGGCAGAGGGAAUUUCCGGUGGAGCGGUGAAAUGCGUAGAUAUCUGGAGGAACACCGGUGGCGAAGGCGGCAUCCUGGACCGGCAUUGACGCUGAGGAGCGAAAGCGUGGGGAGCAAACAGG
rnacentral:rRNA from 1 species